ensembl:misc_RNA Gm56412 predicted gene, 27898
AAAGGCCGGAACUUGAAAGCCUGGGGGUCACCCUUCGCUUUGCUGUGGCUGGGACCUAGAUUCAAAAGAGCUUCCGGAAG